UUUUUUUUUUUUUUUUAUAUAUAUUUUAUUUUUCUUGCUUGUAGUAAGUAAAUUUCUGGGUGGUGCAAUAGAUAAGUAUUUUUUACUCUUUAUCCUUUGGCAUUUUUGCUACUUCAGUUAUAUGUACAUAUUUUGUAGUUUGAAAGGAUAUAUCAGAAUUAAAAUGUGUAUACCAUAUAGGUAUCAGAGGCUUGUUUUCCGUCA
rnacentral:misc_RNA from 1 species